AUGAACUGCGCGAUCGCCACCCAAGCCGGAGCCAGACGCUCAACCGGCUGAGCCACCCAGGUGCCCCACUUCUUGAUGGGGAUGGCAAGAUUCUCGAAGCUCACACGGGACUGCAGAUAUUGCUGUGGCCGUAUUUGAAAAACAUGAGCUAUCAUAACAGAAGCGUCCCAGGGGAAGAGUGGAACAGACCUUGCUGAACCAUGGCAAAGGCUCAGAAUCUGGGGAACCAGCCCGAGGGAUACCCAGGGCUCCUUUAGCCUCGAACACAAUCGAGGGGUCGCCCCCCUGCCUGGAUCCGAGAGAUGCUGGGAGGACACUCACCCCGGGGCUUGCAACACACGGGGCACCCCUUCUGGGUUCGUCUUUGCUGUAAUCCGGGGAGAACUAAGCCAUCACAGCCACUAUCACAGAUGUUCUGGAAGGCCUACUCUCGGUGGUUCCUGUGAUGAUUGAUAGCAUGCCGUCUCUGCAAUCCUGCAUCUCUGGGCAGGGACCGAGGCAGACUGUUCUAAUCCAGGGGGAGGAGUCUUCUGACAAAGGUGUUCGGACCCUGGAGUUACCAGGCUAGCUGAGACGCUUUCAGACGAUCCCAGCCCCAGCCACCGUCUGACCGCACGCACAAAGGAGCGGGAACGGCCGAGCUGAGCCCAGGCAACCCCCCAGGACCAACAAGAAAAAAAAAAAAUACUCAGACGAUGUUGUUUUAAGCCACUAGGUUUUGGGGUGAUUUGUCCCACAGCAGUACGUAACUGUUCCCAAAGUCACCUCAUUGCCCAAGAUGGCUUCUGGAGCUUGAAGUUCAUUUGCCCCCUCUGGGGACAGCAGCACAGAAGACUGAAAUGCCAACUGGUCUGGAAAAUCCAAGGCAUCCGACUGCUAUGCAGGUGGCCGUCAGCACUUGUCUGUGACCAAUGGCUGACUAUUUUGUCUUGCGGGUCACAUAUUUCUGCCCCUACUAGAGCCUGCCAAGCCACCAUUCCACUCGGGGACAGCCCUGCUGAGGGCAGAGGGCUCUUUGGAACAUGUGGUAGGGCCCUCUGAGGUCCUGGGGACAGAGGACAUGCCUGCUGCCUGGGCUGGCAGCUGUUCCCCGUCUCGGCUCUAGCUCCGCCCUCACAGACCCCAGGUGACUUGGCACAUGUCGUUGACACGGAGCCGCUCAAUUUCCUGCCUUACCUCCCCUCUGGCCUCCUGGCUUGCAACCGAGUCUUCCUGUUUGGGGGGCUGAGGGCUCUGCGGCUUCUCACCGGCUUUCUCUGCACCCCCGUCCCCCAAGGACAAGGUUUGUGGGGGGGGGGGGGGCAGGACGGGAGGGACAAUAGCCCUUCUGGUGCAGUGGAGGCGGCUCCAGACUGCAGACCUGGGCUUUCAUC